CUAUAAUUUUAUUGGUUUUAUAUUGCCCUUUCAUAGCUUCGUAUGGCAUGGUUUGGGUCCUGCGCAAUGGGACGCCGCGAACCUUGUCAGGUCCGGAAGGAAGCAGCAAUAAGUGGAUUUUUCCAUGUGCCGCAGAUAAGCCUUCUCCAACGUCCUGCGGAGCUAUUAAAGGGCAAUAUUAUUUAUAG
rnacentral:SRP_RNA from 1 species